AACGCACCUUGCGCCCCUUGGUAUUCCGAGGGGCAUGCCUGUUUGAGUGUCUUGAAAUCAUCAAACCUAACCUGUCUUUGUUGGCCGGCGCGGUUUGGACUUGGGGGUUUCCUUGCUGCCGCUCGCGGUGGCUCCCCUUAAAUUCAUCGGUCGGGCUUUCGUGCGGCUCUGUCCCUUGGCGUUGUAUUACCCUCGUCGCUGGAUGGCUCGCGAUACUGCGCCCUUCUUUGACCUGCCUCUGGAGUGGCGGUCUUCAACUUUUGUGAUCUGACCUCAAAUCAGGUAGGACUACCCGCUGAACUUAA
rnacentral:misc_RNA from 1 species